rnacentral:rRNA from 1 species
UACAGAGGUGGCAAGCGUUGUUCGGAAUUACUGGGCGUAAAGGGCGCGUAGGCGGCCUUUCUAAGUCGGACGUGAAAGCCCCAGGCUUAACCCUGGGAACGUGCGUCCGAUACUGGGAGGCUUGGAUUCGGGAGAGGGAUGUGGAAUUCCGAGGUGUAGCGGUGAAAUGCGUAGAUAAUCUGGAGGAACACCGGUGGCGAAGGCGGCAUCCUGGACCGAGAU